rfam:Ictidomys tridecemlineatus contig062928, whole genome shotgun sequence.
GGGGUUGUGGUUCAGUGGUAGAGUGCUCAUCUAGCAUAUGUGAGGCACUGGGUUCGAUCCUCAGCAGCACAU